ensembl:snRNA U2 U2 spliceosomal RNA
AGACGUUUUCCUUUUUAGCUAAGAUUAUAUGUGGUAUUUGUUCUUAUCAAUUUGAUACAUGAUAUGUUCUCUAUCUGACAGCAAUGUGUCAAAUGUAUUUUUGGAGCUAGGGAAGAGAAUAGGAGUUCGUUCUAUAUACUCUACGUAUCGAUCUGAUAUUGCAGUACUUCCAGAAACGGUCCAACUCCU